GCCGGGCGUGGUGGUGCAUGCCUGUAAUCCCAGCUACUUGGGAGGCUGAGGCAGGAGAAUCGCUUGAACCCGGGAGGCAAAGGUUGUGGUGCCACUGCACUCCAGCCUGGGCAACAGAGCGAGAUGCUGCCUCAA
rnacentral:SRP_RNA from 1 species